rnacentral:rRNA from 1 species
CAACGAUUAAAACCCUACGUGAUCUGAGUUCAGACCGGAGCAAUCCAGGUCAGUUUCUAUCUAUAAAGAGCUUUCUCUAGUACGAAAGGACCGAAAAAGCACGGCCCCUGUAAUAUAUAUGCCUUAGCUAACAACUUAUGACUAAAACUCAAUAAAAACUUAGCCUAACACCCCUCUCAAAACAAGAGCA